GACGAACGCUGGCGGCGUGCCUAACACAUGCAAGUCGAACGAAGCAUUUAAGUGAAUCUCUUCGGAGUGAAGCUUUUAUGACUUAGUGGCGGACGGGUGAGUAACGCGUGAGUAACCUGCCUUUCAGAGGGGGAUAACAGUUGGAAACGACUGCUGAUACCGCAUAAACGUAUUGAGACCGCAUGGUCUUGAUACCAAAGCUGAGGCGCUGAAAGAUGGACUCGCGUCUGAUUAGAUAGUUGGUGAGGUAACGGCUCACCAAGUCGACGAUCAGUAGCCGGACUGAGAGGUUGAACGGCCACAUUGGGACUGAGACACGGCCCAG
rnacentral:rRNA from 1 species